rnacentral:rRNA from 1 species
ACUCCUACGGGAGGCAGCAGUGGGGAAUAUUGCGCAAUGGUCGAAAGACUGACGCAGCGACGCCGCGUGUGGGAGGAAGCCCCUAGGGGUGUAAACCACUGUCAGGAGGGAAGAACACCGUGUAUUCGAAUAGGGUAUGCGGUUGACGGUACCUCCAAAGGAAGCGCCGGCUAACUCCGUGCCAGCAGCCGCGGUAAGACGGAGGGCGCAAGCGUUGUUCGGAAUUACUGGGCGUAAAGCGCGUGCAGGCGGCCUUUUAAGUCCCUUGUGAAAUUCCGGAGCUCAACUCCGGAGGUGCAAGAGAUACUGGAAGGCUAGAGACCGGUAGAGGCUAGUGGAAUUCCUGGUGUAGCGGUGGAAUGCGUAGAUAUCAGGAGGAACACCGGUGGCGAAGGCGACUAGCUGGGCCGGGUCUGACGCUCAUGCGCGAAAGCGUGGGGAGCAAACAGGAUUAGAAACCCCAGUAGUCC